AACCAGAGUAAUAACAGCCAUACAGAAGGGUUAUGAUGAAGUGAGUCACAGAUCGCAACAAAUGACAGGACACCACAGUAGACCAAAAAGCGGCUGCGCCCGAGACUAGCCUCUGAAGCAGUGAGUUUAGUGUGCUGCUCAUAAAACCAGGGUGACUAAAGGAAUGGCUGCUGCUCAUAGAACCGCGAGGAGGGGCCUCAUGAGUCUUGGAAGCUUCAGGACCUUCCUGAGAGUUGAUUUAUUCUCUUCUAGAGCCUGAAUGGAAAUGGCCGCCCGGCACUGACCUGAGAACCGGUCAGUGAGGCAGGGAGACAGGGUGAAGGAAUGCUCAACUGCCUCCUGCUCCACUGUGUCCAGGCGUUCUGCCUGAAGUCACCUGUGAGAGUGAGAGAGAGGAGUGUGGCGCCGGACAGCAGGGCUGCCCAAUCUGUCAGGAGCAUUCAGGCAGCCACAAGGCCCUGGGGUCUCAGGGUCAGGCCAGCAUGCAGUCAGCCCUUCAGGAGCAGACUGGGGAAUCUCCCAGCCUUCUUUUCUUAACCUUGAAACUCAUCAAGUGGCCCAGGCUGACUGCACCCGUCUCUGCUUCCCUGGUGCUGCUGUUUCAGUUAAAAACAAAACAAAAGCAAACAACAAACAAGCAAUGAACCAGGCUCCAGACAUCAAUCUCGGGCCCGGGCUCUCGGGUUGAAGUCCUCCGGGUUGAAGUCCAGCCUGCCCGUGAUGCUUAGCGAAGGGGCGUGAGAACCCGCGAGCUGGCCGGCUGGCCGCACAGGUGCGCGUGCUAGGGAAGAUCGUCGCCCGGAGACGUCUUUCCCGGAGGCCCCGCGCGGUGUGCGCCCCGGCUCCCCCGACCUCUCCGGCCGCGGCCCGGCCCCCGACCCCCCGGCCGCGCCUCCUGCCCCGCUGCGGACCCCGCCCGGGAUGCGCCCGCCUCCUCCCGAGCGCCCUCGGGUCGCCGGCCUGGAAUCGUCAGCCUAGCUGGUCGCAGUCGUCAGGGAAACGCCACUUCUCCGGACAUGCGGCAGAAAGACCCGUGCCAGAAGCAAGCCUGUGACAUUCAGAAGUGUUUGCAGGCCAACAACUACUUGGAGGCCAAGUGCCAGGCCGUGAUCCAGGAGCUUCGCAAGUGCUGCGCCCGCUACCCCAGGGGCACGUCUCUCGUCUGCUCCGGCUUUGAGAAAGAGGAGGAGGAGAACCUGGCACUCAAGACCGGACCCAAGUGAAGCUGUGCUGAGAAAGAAGUUAAAUUCGCUUCAUGCUCCCUCCGCGAGCUGUUUGCCAGGUAGCAGCAAACAGCAAGGGAAAGCCGACGGUGAGGCUAGCAGACAUGCCGUCCACGCAAAACAGACGGAAAUAGUAACCCGUGUUAGAAAAUACAUGUGUGUAAAGGAGAAGGGAGGUGCCGAAAUAAACCCACUUUACACGAAAACGAAACAAGCAAAAAGCAAACAAA